AAUUAUCCACGCGCCGUGGCAGAAUGUGAGAUAAAGGCAAUGAUUUCUUAUCCCAAGGACACGGUCAAGCAGCCCUUGCCAAGCCUACAGAGAACUGCUGGCCUGAAGGUGAACAGGAGUAUUUCCAUGGAGAUGUUUUCCACAGAAACAGGAGGCCCAUCACAGGAGCAGGAGAGAUGUUUGUUAUCUUUGCCUGGUGGCGCCAGCAGUUGAGCAAGAGGAGUGGGAGGCUGGCUGCUGGUUCCUGUACCCGUGCCAUCAGGAGCUCCCACCUCAUCCCGCUGGGUGGGGGACUCAGGCUCGGUAGCAUUCCCGCCAUGAGUGAAAUGGAAAAACCCUUCUGGGCUGCUCUGCCUGCAGAGAUGCUGUGA
rnacentral:lncRNA from 1 species